rnacentral:tRNA from 1 species
GUUCUUAUAGUUGAAUUACAACGGUGGCUUUUCAUGUCAUUGGUCAUGGUUAGAUUCCAUGUGGGAAUA